CAGGCGAGGUCUUUCCGUAAGAAAGUCCCCGUGAAGGCGUAUCCUGCUUUCCUCUGCACGGUUGCUUUAGAGGAUUAUUUAUGUAAUAUACAGAAAGUGGACUUCAAUAUAUUUCAUCCAAGCUUGCAGAAGAAAAGUACAUUAUUACCAUUGUAUUUGUAUAUUAGAUCUUGGAAAAAAACAUAUUAAAAUAUUCUUAAUAUGA